CCCGCCUCCCAACCGUGAGGUGUUGGGUUUGGGGGACGCUGGCAGCUGGGUUCUCCCGGUUCCCUUGGGCAGGUGCAGGGUCGGGUUCAAAGCCUCCGGAACGCGUUUUGGCCUGAUUUGAGGAGGGGGGCGGGGAGGGACCUGCGGCUUGCGGCCCCGCCCCCUUCUCCGGCUCGCAGCCGACCGGUAAGCCCGCCUCCUCCCUCGGCCGGCCCUGGGGCCGUGUCCGCCGGGCAACUCCAGCCGAGGCCUGGGCUUCUGCCUGCAGGUGUCUGCGGCGAGGCCCCUAGGGUACAGCCCGAUUUGGCCCCAUGGUGGGUUUCGGGGCCAACCGGCGGGCUGGCCGCCUGCCCUCUCUCGUGCUGGUGGUGCUGCUGGUGGUGAUCGUCGUCCUCGCCUUCAACUACUGGAGCAUCUCCUCCCGCCACGUCCUGCUUCAGGAGGAGGUGGCCGAGCUGCAGGGCCAGGUCCAGCGCACCGAAGUGGCCCGCGGGCGGCUGGAAAAGCGCAAUUCGGACCUCUUGCUGUUGGUGGACACGCACAAGAAACAGAUCGACCAGAAGGAGGCCGACUACGGCCGCCUCAGCAGCCGGCUGCAGGCCAGAGAGGGCCUCGGGAAGAGAUGCGAGGAUGACAAGGUUAAACUACAGAACAACAUAUCGUAUCAGAUGGCAGACAUACAUCAUUUAAAGGAGCAACUUGCUGAGCUUCGUCAGGAAUUUCUUCGACAAGAAGACCAGCUUCAGGACUAUAGGAAGAACAAUACUUACCUUGUGAAGAGGUUAGAAUAUGAAAGUUUUCAGUGUGGACAGCAGAUGAAGGAAUUGAGAGCACAGCAUGAAGAAAAUAUUAAAAAGUUAGCAGACCAGUUUUUAGAGGAACAAAAGCAAGAGACCCAAAAGAUUCAAUCAAAUGAUGGAAAGGAAUUGGAUAUAAACAAUCAAGUAGUACCUAAAAAUAUUCCAAAAGUAGCUGAGAAUGUUGCAGAUAAGAAUGAAGAACCCUCAAGCAAUCAUAUUCCACAUGGGAAAGAACAAAUCAAAAGAGGUGGUGAUGCAGGGAUGCCUGGAAUAGAAGAGAAUGACCUAGCAAAAGUUGAUGAUCUUCCCCCUGCAUCCAGGAAAAGCUUUUAGGUUUUGUGUGUGUGUGUGUGUGUGUGUGACAGAGUCUCGCUCUGUUGUCCAGGCUGAAGUAUAGUAGCGUGAUCUUGGCUCACUGCAACCUGCGCCUCCUGGGUUCAAGCAAUUCUUCUGUCUCAGCCUCCCAAGUAGCUGAGAUUACAGGCGCCUGCCACCAUGCCUGGCUAAUUUUUUGUAUUUUUAGUAGAGAUGGGGUUUCACCAUGUUGGCCAGGCUGGUCUUGAACUCCUGACCUCAGGUGAUCCACCCGCCUCGGCCUCCCAAAGUUCUGGGAUUACAGGUGUGAGCCGCAGCACCUGGCCAGGCUUUUAGUUUUUAAAUAUUAGGUAGAGGUAAUCUAUUUGUAAGAUAACAGAUUUUCUAGAACAGAGGCUUCGAAUGGUGGUUGCAUAUUGGAAUCUCUGGGGAGCUUGAAAAAAAAAAAGAUACUGAUGCCUAAAUUCCAUUCCAGAGAUUUUGUUAUAUUUGUUCUGGGGUUUGACUUGGGCAUUGAAGGUUUAAAUGGUCACUAGGUGAUUACAUUAUGUAGCUAAGGCAGAAAAACCUUUACUCUAGACAGAUUCUCUAGAUCUAUACUGUAUUAAUGCAGUAGCCAUUGGUCACAUGUGGCUAUUUACAUUUAAAUUCAUUACAUUUAGGUGAAAUUAAAUUCAGUUUCUUAGUCAAACUAGCUACACUUAAAGUGCUUACUUAGUAGUUACCUGUGGCUAAAGGCAACUGUGUUGGACAGCACCAAUGCAGAACAUUUUCAUUAUUGUAGAAAGUUCUGUUGGACAGUACUGCUCUAGAUUGAAACCAGUAAUAGUGGUUUUAUGGGGAAGAAGAUUAGGACAGGGAUGAAAAGGUGACUUGCUUUUCAUUAUAUAAUCUUCUGAACUUUUAAAUUUUUGUAUAAUACUAAUAAACUACCUAUUCAAAAAAAUCAUUAUUUAAAAAAAUUAAAGAGAGGCUAGGUGUAGUGGCUUACGCCUGUAAUCCCAACACUUUGGGAAGCCUAGGCAAGAGGAUUGCUUGAGGCCAGGAGUUCGAGGCUUGGGCAACAUAACAAGACCUCAUAUCUUAGGAAAAAAAAAAAUGGCUAGGCAUAGUGGCACACACCUGUAGUCCUAGCUACUUGGGAAGCUGAGGUGGGAGGAUCACAUGAGCCCAGGAGUUCGAGAUUGCAGUGAACUGUGAUUGCACCACUGUACUCCAGUCUGGGUGACAGAGAGAGACCCUGUCUAAACAAAAAAGAGAGAGAGAGAGAGAGAGAGGAGGCAGAGUGAGAUAACUGAAUAGAAGCCUCCACUGAUUGUCCUCCCUGCAGUAGCACCAAAUUUGACAACUGUCUACACAGAAAAGUACCUUCAUGAGAGCCAAAAAUCAGCUUUAAGGAAGCCUCCUAUUUCAGUUUCUCAACAUGAAAGUCAUCAAGCAAUCUCCCAUCUUCCAACUGGACAACCUCUCUCCCCAAAUAUGCCUCCAGAUUCACACAUAAACCACAAUGGAAACCCCGGUACUUCAAAACAGAAUCCUUCCAGUCCUCUUCAGCGUUUAAUUCCAGGCUCAAACUUGGACAGUGAACCCAGAAUUCAAACAGAUAUACUAAAGCAGGCUACCAAGGACAGAGUCAGUGAUUUCCAUAAAUUGAAGCAAAAUGAUGAAGAACGAGAGCUUCAAAUGGAUCCUGCAGACUAUGGAAAGCAACAUUUCAAUGAUGUCCUUUAAGUCCUAAAGGAAUGCUUCAGAAAACCUAAAGUGCUGUAAAAUGAAAUCAUUCUACUUUGUCCUUUCUGACUUUUGUUGUAAAGACGAAUUGUAUCAGUUGUAAAGAUACAUUGAGAUAGAAUUAAGGAAAAACUUUAAUGAAGGAAUGUACCCAUGUACAUAUGUGAACUUUUUCAUAUUGUAUUAUCAAGGUAUAGACUUUUUUGGUUAUGAUACAGUUAAGCCAAAAACAGCUAAUCUUUGCAUCUAAAGCAAACUAAUGUAUAUUUCACAUUUUAUUGAGCCGACUUAUUUCCACAAAUAGAUAAACAGGACAAAAUAGUUGUACAGGUUAUAUGUGGCAUAGCAUAACCACAGUAAGAACAGAACAGAUAUUCAGCAGAAAACUUUUUAUACUCUAAUUCUUUUUUUUUUUUUUUUUGAGACAGAGUUUUAGUCUUGUUUCCCAGGCUGGAGUGCAAUGGCACAAUCUUGGCUCACUGCAACCUCCGCCUCCUGGGUUCAGGCAAUUUUCCUGCCUCAGCCUCCCAAGUAGCUGGGAUUACAGGCACCCACCACCAUGCCCAGCUAAUUUUUGUAUUUUUAAUAGAGAGCUAAUAAUUGUAUAUUUAAUAAAGACGGGUUUCACCAUGUUGGCCAGGCUGGUCUUGAACUCCUGACCUCAGGUGAUCCUCCUGCAUUGGCCUCCCAAAGUGCUGGAAUUCCAGGCAUGAGCCACUGCGCCCAGUCUACACACUAAUUCUUGUUAGCCCAACAGCUGUUCUGUUCUAUCUACCCCUCAUUUCACGCUCAAGGAGUCAUACCUAGAAUAGUUACACACAAGAGGGAAACUGGAAGCCAAACACUGUACAGUAUUGUGUAGAAAGUCACCUCCCUACUCCUUUUAUUUUACAUGAGUGCUGAUGUGUUUUGGCAGAUGAGCUUUCAGCUGAGGCCUGAUGGAAAUUGAGAUAACCUGCAAAGACAUAACAGUAUUUAUGAGUUAUAUCUUAGUUCUUGAAAUUGUGGAAUGCAUGAUUGACAAUAUAUUUUUAAUUUUUAUUUUUUCAAGUAAUACCAGUACUGUUUAACUAUAGCCAGAACUGGCUAAAAUUUUUAUAUUUUCAGAGUUGAAGUUGGUGAAGACAUUCAUGAUUUAAACACCAGAUCCUGAAAGGGGUUAAAUCUACUUUGAAAUGAAUCUGCAAUCAGUAUUUCAAAGCUUUUCUGGUAAUUUUAGUGAUCUUAUUUGAUUAGACUUUUUCAGAAGUACUAAAUAAGGAAUUUUAACAGGUUUUUAUUAAUGCACAGAUAAAUAGAAGUACAGUGAGGUCUAUAGCCAUUUUAUUAAAAUAGCUUAAAAGUUUGUAAAAAAAUGAAUCUUUGUAAUUACUUAAUAUGUUAGUUAAGAACCCGUCAAGCUUAUAUUUGCUAGACUUACAAAUUAUUUUAAAUGCAUUUAUCUUUUUUGACACUAUUCAGUGGAAUGUGUAAGCUAGCUAAUUCUUGUUUUCUGAUUUAAAGCACUUUUAAAUCUUAUCCUGCCCCCUAAAAACAAAAGGUUUUGAUCACAAGGGGAAAUUUAAGAUUGUUAACCCUGUUUUUCAGAAGGGCUACUGUUAAUUGCACAUAAACAUGAAAUGUGUUUUCCCCUGUGUACUAACACAUUCUAGGCAAAAUUCAAACUUAUAGUGGUAAAGAAACAGGUUGUUCACUUGCUGAGGUGCAAAAAUUCUUAAGACUUCUGUUUGAAAUUGCUCAAUGACUAGGAAAAGAUGUAGUAGUUUACUAAAAUUGUUUUUCUACCAUAUCAAAUUAAACAAUUCAUGCCUUUAUAGGGUCAGGCCUACAAUGAAUAGGUAUGGUGGUUUCACAGAAUUUUAAAAUAGAGUUAAAGGGAAGUGAUGUACAUUUCGGGGGCAUUAGGGUAGGGAGAUGAAUCAAAAAAUACCCCUAGUAAUGCUUUAUAUUUUAAUACUGCAAAAGCUUUACAAAUGGAAACCAUGCAAUUACCUGCCUUAGUUCUUUUGUCAUAAAAACAAUCACUUGGUUGGUUGUAUUGUAGCUAUUACUUAUACAGCAACAUUUCUUCAAUUAGCAGUCUAGACAUUUUAUAAACAGAAAUCUUGGACCAAUUGAUAAUAUUUCUGACUGUAUUAAUAUUUUAGUGCUAUAAAAUACUAUGUGAAUCUCUUAAAAAUCUGACAUUUUACAGUCUGUAUUAGACAUACUGUUUUUAUAAUGUUUUACUUCUGCCUUAAGAUUUAGGUUUUUUAAAUGUAUUUUUGCCCUGAAUUAAGUGUUAAUUUGAUGGAAACUCUGCUUUUAAAAUCAUCAUUUACUGGGUUCUAAUAAAUUAAAAAUUAAACUUGU